rnacentral:rRNA from 1 species
CCCUUAGAUGUUCUGGGCUGCACGCGUGCUACACUGAUAUUGCCAAUAUGUCAUUCUUAUCCGAAAUGGAUUGGGUAAUCAAGUAAUGAAAUUUCAUGCUUGGAAUCGGUAAUUGCAAUUUUAUCGUGAACGAGGAAUUCCUAGUAAGCACUAGUCAUCAGCUAAUGUUGAUUAUGUCCCUGCCCUUUGUACACACCGCCCGUCGCUACUACUGAUUGGGUGUUCAAGUGAGAUGCUUAGACCCUUGUUGCAUGGUUCAUUAUUGUGCUCUGAAAGGAAAAAGUUUCAAGCUUGAGUGUCUAGAGGAAGUAAAAGUCGUAACA